rnacentral:lncRNA from 1 species
AUAUAUAUAUAUACCUUGCUAUGGUAACAUUGUAUGAAACAUGGGGCAGGAGAGCUGGACGCCAGCUGGAUGUUGAAAAAACCCAAACCUGCAGCAAUGAACAUGUAUGUGCUAAAAUACAAUGUUUAUUAUCCGCUGCAGUUUCCAUUAUUAACAACUGACUCUUGCAAGCGUCCCGUUUCGCUGAAUUUCACUGAAUUUCUAGAGUUUGUCCCGUUGCACGUGAGUUGCAGGGAUCCACAGGAAAGAAGUAUGGGGCAGGAGAGCUGGACGCCAGCUGGAUGUUGAAAAAACCCAAACCUGCAGCAAUGAACAUGUAUGUGCUAAAAUACAAUGUUUAUUAUCCGCUGCAGUUUCCAUUAUUAACAACUGACUCUUGCAAGCGUCCCGUUUCCCGUGAGUUGCAGGGAUCCACAGGAAAGAAGUCCCCAUACGUGACACAGUUGUGCUGCUUCCUGCCAAAACUGCUGCAGGGGGCAGGGCAGGACAGGACAGGGAUCCAGGGACAGGAGCAGUGCUUCAGAAAACCUUCCAGCUUGGGCCUCUGGUAAGUGUCGAUUUUCUGCUGUGAGGGUGUACGUAGGUACUGCAUGGAAUACGCAACAGGCUCAACAGUUUGUUUGUUUGUUUGUUUAAAUUAAGGUCUGAAAAAAUUAUCACUUGCUGCAUACACAGAAACUAAACGUGAAGCACAGUUUUGCACUUCAGACAUGGAAUUCUAUUAUUUGGUUUAAGCUCUGUUUAAGCCUCUGGAAAAGUUGGCUGAAAUUUGCUCAGCAAGAACGUGGGUGGCUGUGCCCAAGGCCUGCCUAACUGAGGGACUCAGGCUGCAGAGUGCUGUGCCUGGCAUCUCUAACCCCCCAGCUGGGUGGAAAUGGGAGGGGGCAUCACACCACUGAGUGAAAACGGGUGCUGGCAGCACGUGGAGGUUAUCACUUGCUGCAUGCAAAGAAACUAAAUGUGAAGCACAGUUUUGCACUUCAGACAUGGAAUUCUAUUAUUUGGUUUAAGCUCUGUUUAAGCCUCUGGAAAAGUUGGCUGAAAUUUGCUCAGCAAGAACGUGGGUGGCUGUGCCCAAGGCCUGCCUAACUGAGGGACUCAGGCUGCAGAGUGCUGUGCCUGGCAUCUCUAACCCCCCAGCUGGGUGGAAAUGGGAGGGGGCACCGCACCACUGAGUGAAAACGGGUGCUGGCAGCACGUGGAGGUUUUCUUUGAUGUAAAGUUUGGGGGUUGCUUGCCUUUCUUCUUUUUUGAGGUCUCUUUUGUGCAAAAUCAUGUGCUAGUUAAGACAACAAUGUAGCUAGUUAUGACUUCAAGUCUAACUAGACUUGCAGGAACAAGCCUAAAACUUAAAAUAUGUUAAACUUUACUGCUGCUUUCAUCCUUAAGCAUUUGGAAAUUGAAUACAUAAUGAUUAAAUGAAAGUACAUGAAAUAUAUUAAGUGGAAUCUAAAGUUAUUUUUCAGACUUCAUUUAUGUAUCAUUAAUCAUUAUUUUAUAAUCACCAUAAAACAGCAGAUUGUCUGCUUAUGUACUUUCUCUUCAUUGCUUAACCAUUCGAAACCAGACCACUGCAGACACCCUGUGCUGCUGCCAUUUCACAUACAGUAUAUCUGGGAAUAUAUUUAAUAUUACAGUAUUUCCAAAUAUUCAUAGACUGUUUUUCUCACUACUUAAAAACAGCCAUAAAAUAAUUUUACUACUACUAUUAAAAUAACUGAUGGUAAAAGCCAUGCAUGAUCUAGAGCUUUUGCUGGCUUUAUUUAAUUUUAAACAUUUGCAAUAUAUUUUCCAUCCAUUAGGAAAAUGCUUGGACUCCUUGUUUUACAAACUACUGGAAACAAACCCCAAGCAUUUGCAUAUUAGUUAAGGUUUUGAGUUCACUAGAGUGAGAAUAGAUGGUAGGAACGAAACACACAGAGAAAAAAAAAGAUUAGUUUUUUUAAGGUUCAAAAAAACCCCAAACAUAAAACAAGUACAAAUAUUCCCAAAAGUUGUUUUUAUUAUGGAUGUAGCUUUUCUGCCUAGGCAAGUAUUUUCUUUUGCUGUUUAUAAUCCAAACUCGUGUAGUAUUGUGCUAGAGCAUGGAAGUUUGAAAAAUCAGAUGGACUCGUCUGUUUUUAUCACCCAAAACGACUAAGAACAGACCAUUCCACGCAGGAUCUUGGGAUGCUUCUGCAAUAAAAGCAGAAGUUAAAAGUACA